CCUACGGGUGGCAGCAGUGAGGAAUAUUGGUCAAUGGCCGUAAGGCUGAACCAGCCAAGUCGCGUGAAGGAAGAAGGAUCUAUGGUUUGUAAACUUCUUUUAUAGGGGAAUAAAGGUAUCCACGUGUGGAUAUUUGCAUGUACCCUAUGAAUAAGCAUCGGCUAACUCCGUGCCAGCAGCCGCGGUAAUACGGAGGAUGCGAGCGUUAUCCGGAUUUAUUGGGUUUAAAGGGUGCGUAGGCGGGAUGCCAAGUCAGCGGUCAAAUACGGGGGCUCAACCUGCGUCCGCCGUUGAAACUGGCGUUCUUGAGUGGGCGAGAAGUACGCGGAAUGCGUGGUGUAGCGGUGAAAUGCAUAGAUAUCACGCAGAACCCCGAUUGCGAAGGCAGCGUACCGGCGCCCGACUGACGCUGAAGCACGAAAGCGUGGGUAUCGAACAGGAUUAGAUACCCGGGUAUC
rnacentral:rRNA from 1 species